rnacentral:misc_RNA from 1 species
GAUGAAGAACGCAGUGAAAUGCGAUAAGUAAUGUGAAUUGCAGAAUUCAGUGAAUCAUCGAAUCUUUGAACGCACAUUGCGCCCGCCAGUAUUCUGGCGGGCAUGCCUGUUCGAGCGUCAUUUCAACCAUCAAGCCCCCGGCUUGUGUUGGGGACCUGCGGCUGCCGCAGGCCCUGAAAAGCAGUGGCGGGAUCGCUGUCACACCGAGCGUAGUAGCAUACAUCUCGCUCUGGGCGUGCUGCGGGUUCCGGCCGUUAAACCACCUUCAUAACCCAAGGUUGACCUCGGAUCAGGUAGGAAGACCCGCUGAACUUAAGCAUAUCAAUAAGCGGAGGA